AUGACGACAGGGCCGCUGAAGCCUGAGGCAGGGGAAUGGUUUAUUCUGCCUGAGAGGAGCUUGGAAGGCUUGUGGAGAAAGCACUGUUUGAGUAGGAACGCUGAGGCCGGGCAAGACCUAACUGUUGAAUGCUGCUAAACCAGGACCAGACUGUGACCAUGAAGAGACAAGUCCAGGCAGCCACGAAAAGGGCCCCCCUCUGUAAGCUUCUGUUGCCCUACGCUGUGUUCAAUUCUUGCCGUCCCUGACGCUGAAGCCCUGGUUAUUCUUCCGGCCAUGUUGAGCCAUCCUUCAGCUGACACAAAGAAAGCCAGCCUUUCAUCGGCGCCCACCUGUGCCAGGAACAGGUCGAAAAGGAGGCAGAGAGCUGCCACUGCCUGCAAGAAAUUUUCACCAGACCAGGGACUGGAAGGCUAUGGCCCAGUGGGCAAAGCUGGUCUAUCUCUUGCUUUUGUGCAGAAGCUUUCAUCGGAUGUGGCCAUGCCCAUUUGGCCCUGCGUCAUCCGUGGCUGUGUUCUCUCUACCACAGCACAGGUGAGUAGUUAUGUGUCAGAAGCCUGUGCUCACACAGCCUGAAAAAUACUUCUGACCCUUUAGGGUCUAGACUGAAUGUUCGGGGAGCAAUCAGAGUCCCCCUCCUAAUCAGGGACCAGCUGUGAUGGGUGGCCUUACCGCUAAUGUCCCCAGGAGGGCCCAAGUGUACAUGCUCACUCCCUGGUUGCCAGGCUCCCUGAGAUGGGCAGAUGCCCCCGGGGGUCGGGGUGGCCGUCCCAGGGGAGAAGAGCACCCUCCCCUGAAGCCCAAGCCUUCCCCAUCUCUUUGCACACACGUCCUCCUUCGAGAGUAGAAAGAACCGGGGGAGAAUCUGCCCUAGUCCCGCCCUGGCCCCUCUACCCACUCGCUGGGUCACGGCAGGAGCGCUGUGGAACAGCACCCAAGCUGCCAAGCCUCUAGAUCCUGCGUCCUUUGUGCUUUCAGUUCAUCCAUCUCUAACUGAGGGACAGGAAGGCACCUGCGUCCUUGGCUCUGCUCGGAAAACGCAACCCUUGCUUGUGCAGCCAGGGUGGCUGUUACUGCAGUUCUUGUUUUGGGAGGGGAAGGAACAGCGCCUCUUCACCCAGAGACCUGAGGUUUUUCCGACAGCGAGCCCAAGGCAGCAGCCUCCCAUUCCUAAAAAGGGUCUUCCCCAGUCAGGGAAACAAUGCAAUUAGCAGCCUCUUUGUUCAGGGUGUUAAUUAACUUGUUUCUUCUGAACACACCUUCUUCCAGGUACAGCCCAUCAUCUCUGGGGUGCUGGCAGGGGGAAGGCAAUUAGAUCCUCGUUACUGUGCAAUUAAUUAUGGCUUGAAAAUGGCUCGAGGAGGCUGGGAGGAAUUCCUUGACAGCACCAGCCCCUGGAAGAGGCCUGGCUUAGGAGUGGGGCUGAGCUGAGCCUCGUUUGGGGGACCAGGGAAGUGGCUGUGGAGCCUAGUUCAGGGCCUUGCAUGCUACCCAGGGGACAUCUGGGGUACCUCCCUCCCCUGCCCAAGAACUUUCACUGGCUCCCUAGUCCCUAUCGAGUCAAGACCAACUCCCUACUUGGACAUUCAAGACUAUCUAUUGUGUGGCCUAACCCAUCGUUUCCACGUUAUCGUCCAUCGCAGCUACACACAGUCCAUCUCCCAACCAAACCCAGACUCAUGUGACUUGAAUGUACUUUUCCAGUCUUUGCUCACACCGUCUCCCCACCUGGGAUGGCUUUCUCCGUUCACUCUGCCUGCUGGGAAACUCUCUGUCUUUUAUCUUGAAUGGCGUGAUUAUCAUUGCAAAUCCCGACGCCUCCCCAGAGCCUCUCCUGAGGGCAAGAGGGGACUUAGAGAGAGUGAGGGUUUUUGACUGAGAGAAACUUGGACUCAACCAAUUAACCUCCUACAGCUUCACUCCCGCCUCCCCACCCUCAGUGUGAGGAGAAGCCCAAAGCCUGCCUCACAGACAGGGUGUGCCCAGUGUCGUGUCACGCUGUGGCCCCAGCCAGCCUUUGCCUCUGUGCUAACCACCACUCCUCACUGGGUCACAGGCUCUGCUAUCUUCAAACCAACUUCCAUCCUUUGUCCCUUGUGUCCUUCGCCUCAGUCCACGGAGGGUGCUGCUGUACCCUGCACGUCGCCUCAAGGGGGUCUGAGGUGGUGGUUCUCUGGGGGGCACUGUGGACCACCGCCCUGACUGAGGGCCCCUGGCACCUAGCGGACAUGACCAAGAUGCCGCAGGUCCUCCCAGACGUCAUGGAGGCGAAACGCCUGCGUAGAUUUGCUGAGGCCAGAACUUGGUGUUACUUAUGUUUCCGCUAUUCGGGGGCGUGAUUUUAUAUAUUUAUAAAUGUUAUGUGUGUGUAUGUGUAUGUAUAAAUGUGAUAUAUACUUAUAUAUAAAUCUACGUAUUUAUUCAUAUGUGUAUAUGUACAUGACUGUGUGUGUGUGUCUGUGGAAACAUAGAAUAUCUUCCAGGAAUGUAACCACUGAGUAAAUGGAAGGAAGAGUGGACUUUGUUUUUUUUGUUUUUUUGUCUUUUUAGGACCACACCUGUGGCAUAUGGAGGUUCCCAGGCUAGGGGUCGAGUCGGAGCUACAGCUGCUGGCCUAGUCCACAGCCACAGCAACACAGGAUCCGAGCCACAUCUGUGAUCUACACCACAGCUCACGGCAAUGCUGGAUCCUUAACCCCCUGAGCAAGGCCAGGGAUGGAACCCACAUCCUCAUGGAUCCUAGUCGGAUUCUUUACCAUUGGACUUUGUUUUGAUGAGUGUUUUACUGAGACCCGUUUGCCACUUGGAAAACUACACUGUGAACAGCAAUGCCGCUUAUAGUGUCGCAGUCCUGAGACGAGCCCGCUGCUCCGCCAGCACUUGCAGGUACUAAGCUCAUGGUGUCGUCAGGUGCAGGAGCAAGACUCCUUCAUGUGUCUUCACAAUCGCUGUGAGUUCCCGUCGUGGCGCAGUGGUUAACGAAUCCGACUAGGAAUCGUGAGGUUGCGGGUUCCGUCCCUGCUCUAUGCUCAGUGGGUUAAGGAUCCAGCGUUGCCGUGAGCUGUGGUGUAGGUUUCAGAUGCGGCUCAGAUGUGGCAUUGCUGUGGCUCUGGCGUAGGCUGGCGGCUACAACUCCGAUUCAACCACUAGCCUGGGAACCUCCAUAUGCCAAGGGAGCAGCCCCAGAAAUGGCAAAAAG
rnacentral:lncRNA from 1 species